AUGAGUAGCACCAGAACUUUCUCGCCGGCGGUGGUGGCGGCAGCGCAGCAGCAUGUCCGCGCGCCGCGCGGUGGGCUGCCGCGGCCGAGGCGACCCACCAGGCAGGCGGCCGGCUCGCCGGGCCAACGGUCCGCGGGUGGCGGCGGCGACGCCGCGUGGGGGCAAGCGGGGCGCAGCUGGUGGGGCGCUGGAGGUGGAUUGCCAGCGGCCGCGUCGUCGAGGCGGCAGCCGUGCAGGGCUGGCGCUGGCCGGGCGCCGGCGGGGAACCGGGAGCUGGUGCGGCGGGCGCUUUCGCCGCCGGCCACGGGCGCGCGCGGCGCGGCGCUGAGGAGGUGGAGCUUCCGGCCCAUGCCGAGCCGGCUGCGCAACGGGUCGUGCUUGACCUCGACGGCGGCCCCUGCAUCCCCACGGCCAUCGUGA
rnacentral:rRNA from 1 species